rnacentral:rRNA from 1 species
CCUACGGGUGGCAGCAGUAGGGAAUCUUCCACAAUGGACGAAAGUCUGAUGGAGCAACGCCGCGUGAGUGAAGAAGGGUUUCGGCUCGUAAAGCUCUGUUGGUAGUGAAGAAAGAUAGAGGUAGUAACUGGCCUGUAUUUGAAGGUAAUUACUUAGAAAGUCACGGCUAACUACGUGCCAGCAGCCGCGGUAAUACGUAGGUGGCAAGCGUUGUCCGGAUUUAGUGGGCGUAAAGCGAGUGCAGGCGGUUCAAUAAGUCUGAUGUGAAAGCCUUCGGCUCAACCGGAGAAUUGCAUCAGAAACUGUUGAACGUGAGUGCAGAAGAGGAGAGUGGAACUCCAUGUGUAGCGGUGGAAUGCGUAGAUAUAUGGAAGAACACCAGUGGCGAAGGCGGCUCUCUGGUCUGCAACUGACGCUGAGGCUCGAAAGCAUGGGUAGCGAACAGGAUUAGAUACCCCAGUAGUC